UUGCUGUUGCUGUUGGCCAUGGUUUGUCAUGGUUAGCUUGAUGGAUUAUACAUGUUCAUAGUCUUGAAGAAGCUCACUGCCAUUAAAAUGUGGGAUUUAACUGGAUUAGACAUUCAGUAUAGCCUUGGUCACACUAGCUGCGUUUACAUGGGCACAAAUAAUCCGAAUUAAGGCCCGAUCGGAAUAAAAAUGCGUCAUGUAAACACGUCAAUCGGAAAAUUCGGAUCCAAUUUCACCCAAUCGGAAAGAAAUUGUAUUCCGAUUGAAAGGGGUGGUUUUUGCCGAUCAUUAUUCCGAUCUUGACUCUCUUACCGAACAGUCUUCACUCUUUCGCUUUUAGCUUUUUUAUUGAGGUCAGUACAGGAGGUUUCAUUAUUAACACAAUCACAGGGCUGUCUGCUCCUCCGAUAACAUAACAAGGCAUACAUACAGUGUAUAUAUAAGUACGCAAGGGCGCCAUCUAGUGACAACAUUUAACAGGGGGGAAACUCCUGAAUUAGAUGGAGUAAGCCACUAUCGUGUUUGUUGUUUUGUUGACAGCACAGGUGUAAAUACAACUCUUCUUUUACAGUUGUUUUAGCGAAAUUAGACAACUGCGCAUGUCCGAAUGCUUCUAAUCUGAAUAAAACUCGGGGCAUGUAUACGCACUUGAUUUUUGCGCCCAGAAACAGUGGAUUCAGAUUAUCCCAUCCCCUCAAAUUUUUAGUCGGAUUAAGAAAUUUUGCACAUGUAAACAAGGCUAGUGAUAGAAGGGUGUUUUCAUGCCAAGAUGGCGGCCGGGCCUCCUCUGUUGUAUCACGCUUUUACUCCUUGUUUCUUUCUUUCUUACUGUGCAGACUUCAUUAUGCCAUCCAGCGUCUUUGACUGCUUUGAAUUGUGUUUUUACAUGUAACUCAUUUACACCAAGUAUUGGCGGCUCAUCCUCGUCAACUGCACACCGAGUGCCCAUUGUCUGCUUUUAUGAAUGUGCAUGUAAUGAGUUGAUGCCGGUGUUAAUAUGCACAUAUUUGUGCAGCACUUGCAGUGGUUUUAAUUUUGAAAGAGUGUGAGGUUAUUGAUAAGCCGUUCUGGGCUUUGAGUUGUUGGCUGAAUCUCACGGUUGUGCUAAAUUUUUUUACUGAGAUGCUUUAAUUGUGUGGGUGAGAAAGCUCAUAGUUUUGUGUUUUACAUGCCCCUUGUGGUCAUUAUUUGUGAGUACUGACUUUAAUUGGCUCUCCUGUUGCUGAUUGUUGAUCUUGUAGUAUUUCUGUUUUCCACCCUGCUGCUUAUUUCUUUUCUUUUUUCUUCUAUUUAUGAGCAAAAACAUUCUUGUAUAUCCCAUAGCUUCUGUUUUCUUUGCUUUCUAUGUGUGCUGCUAUUUCUUGCCAGCUGUUUAUGAUGCUCUCUGUUGGCUGCAGUUUCCUGAUAACUGUCACGCCGAGGCGUUUUCCUUACUUUGUGAACCUGCAUGUAACAAGCUGUUGGUUUUGAUAUGUGCUUUGCAACGCUUUCACUGUCAUAAAGCUGAUUAGUCCGCGGGACGUUGAAUACGCUCUCUCUUUCACUCACCUGAUUCACAUAAUGAUUUCUCUGUGUUACUGACAUCCCUGAAACUCGAAAUGGCUUUUGUCACCAACAAGAGAGGUUGUCACGUUCCCAUUUUCUCCGCACAGCUCACAUUCAGCAAAACCUUAAAAGCAUGCUCCCUCCGAGCCUUUAUGUGACAGCUUGCAGUGCUUCCCUUUUUUUCUUUUUUUUGCAUCUUACCCUAUAUCAGUUCUACUUUCUGCUGAUGCAAGAUAUGCAGCAGGCCUUUGAUGGCUGCUACCACUGUUACACUCUUGUACAGCAAGACUUUUCCUGGAUGCCAAUACUGUACAGGAAUUUCUCUCUGGUCUUUAAGUCUCUCAGAUGAACCCACAGCUGGAAGUUGCAUGAUAACAACCAAUGUGGCCAUUGUGUCCUGAGGCGCUGCAGGGGUGACAUUGAGCAGAUUCUGUGGAGCUCCGAGGCGCCGCAGACUUACAACCUCAGUGAAGUGCCCGAGCAUGGGGAAAGCAGAAGAAAUCCUCUUUCUCCUUCUCGCUAACACGAGGCUGAGCUGGCAGUAGUACAAGGCUAGGAUAAAUGGAAGUACAUCAGAGCGGAGGGAUGAGAUUAUCCUGGUUGGGAUUUGGAUUGGGACUUUGAGGAAAUGCUGAAGGUGGGAGUACAGACGAAGUUCUCACCUAAGCUACUGCAGGCUGGUGGAGAGCAGUCGAGAAAAGCCUGAGAUACACGUUCUCUUCGGCACGAGCUGUGAGAAUGACAAUAGCUGUGUGUUUGUGUGCCGGUUAUGUAAGUGCUGUAUCAGGGCGGCCUUUCGCAGUUAAUUUGGUGAGCGCUUAUGAGGUAAUAAAAGCAAUUAUUUGUGCACAAUUAGACAUUUUGUUGGCUUCAUUAGUAAGAAUUCCCAUGCUGAUACAUGCAAUUAAGACGCAUUUUAACAAACGCUUUAAUGGGUGUGUAUUUUGGAAUAUUUCAUGGACCAAUUAAGCCGUCCUCUUAACUUCCUGUAAACAGAGUUCUCCAGGGCACGUUGGUACAGGGAGAGCAUGCAAACCUCCCGCCCUGACCUUGUGACAUCGCUUCUGGUGCGGCGGAGAUUAGCAAACGCCGAGCACGGCAUUAUUAAAAAACAAAAAAGGAAUAGAGUCAUGGCUGUGUCGAGCGCGAACAAAGAGUCCUGUGCUGCAUUAGCAGCCUCUCAAGGAAAGUGUGUCAUUAAAUUUGCACAACUCUUCAGCUUCUGUCUCUGCCGUGACAUAUCCGUUCAAGUGAUUGUGGUUUGAAGUCAUGAAAACACGGCGGUGCGGGGUUUGUUUUUUUCUGCUUGAGAAGUAUUUGAACUGCACUCAAAGAUCUGAGUCGCAGAUUUGCACGUAUAGGACCGCGCGUGGAGAGGAUGAUUUCUAGUCUCUUUUAGGACUUCAUUAAUGUAUAAUACUUGUGAGACUCUUCCCCCCUCCAAAACACACUUGAGCGUGAUUCUUCUCACUGAUUACUGACCUUAGAUAACCCCGUCACUGUGAAAGAACGUGUCUAGGAUGCACUCUUGUCUGCUCGUCACUCCUGUUUGAAGUGUUUUUGUGCCUGUUUAAGUGGGAAUCAUCAGCUCAGUGUAAGGGUUUUCCUGCUUUAAAAAGAGGCCCGGCCUGCAGCCUUUAAGACCGGCCGUUCAUUCAUGAGAUGUAAGGCUGCGCUCUACCCUGAAUCCCUUUACAGGUAGAGAUUCACUUCACUUUAUGUACGGGUUUUAAUAUCGGCUCGACUCCAUCUCUGGGAAAAGAGGAACACAGGAGCAUCAGAUCAGUGCGGUUGUUGUAUUCUGCAGGACAUCUCAGUCUCCUAGAUGACGUGUGUACUAAACACUCGGGCUCACUCUGACAUGAGGAAAUACAAAUCCACUUAAAAUGUCAUUUUCAAACAUAAACUGACAAAAUUCCCAGCGACGACUAAAAGGAGGUCCAGAACCUCUAAGAGAACCGAAACACGAGAAAACUUUAAAUAAACCUACUUUGAUACGUUUGGAAAAGUUGAUUUCUUUUACCAACUCUUCUUAAAAGUUUAGAAACAUUUUGUUGAGUAGUUUUGGCGACUCAGAAACUCCGUACUCAUAAAAUAGGGAUGGCUCAACAUGGUUUGAGGUUUUUAUCUGCCGGUUCAUCUUUGAGUCGUCUUAAUUUUCAACAAUUUCUCCUUAACCGUGAAUUCAGGAAAUGUGAAGCCAACUUAACCAGACCAUAAGAUUGGCUUAAGUAUUUGAGAGAAUGCUGUUGUGUUUACACAAACUGAAAACAAACAAACAAAACCAAUGACAAUAUUCAAAACAAGAAUAAUGAUAAUCAAAGGAAAACAAAAACUAUUAAUAAUAAUGUGAGCCCAACAUGUCCGAUAAGGAGUAGGAUGAAGCAUUACGCUUAUUUAAACCUACACCCUCGCCGCUACUCAAUUAACAGUCAGUCUUCAACAUAUUUACAUUGUUUACAAAAAAUAGAAAAUAAAUAGAGUAAAUAAACAAGAACAUAAUGAAAAGACCCAAUGGUUAAAGCCCUUCUUCCUCCCUGUACCUGGUGAAAACCAUGUUUUUGUACCGCUUCUUUAACUGGGUCAUGCUUGGACAUGGCUUGAGUUCCACAGCUCAUCUGUUCCACAACCUUAUUUCACAAACAGAAACACAAAAACUUUUUCAUGUUGUACGUGCCCGCUGAUGCUCUAAGUUAAAGUCCCCCCUCACAUGAUAAACCCUAAUUUAUCCAAUUUUUGGAUAUUUCCAGGCAGUAGAUUGUUUAUUGUUUAGUACAUGAUUUGUGAUGUUUGAAAGUCAACCAGGAAUUUUACUGUUUUCGAUUUUAGGAAUAGUGAAUUUGUGUGAUCUCUAUAACCGAUAUUGUGGAUUAUUCUUAUGGCUCUUUUCUGCAGUACAGAAAGUGAUUGUAUUGUACAUUUGUAAGUAAAUUGAAUUAUUUACUCGCUUCAUUCAUGCGUUUGAACACCUGAAUGAUUUGUGUUUACUCGCUUGGUCUGCAAAUAACUUACUCCGUUCCUGUGCUGUAACGCAAAUACCAGACAUAUAAAUUCAGUCAAGACAGGAGGAGUUCCCUUCAUGUCACUUUAGUCGUGUCUGGACUACAUAACAAGGCUUUGCUGUGUUUGCACAACUUACCAGAUAAAACCAUCUCCUCUGUCUUUUUAUUCUGGUUUCAAUAUUAAAACAAGUUGC